rnacentral:rRNA from 1 species
UACGUAGGCAGCAAGCGUUGUUCGGAGUUACUGGGCGUAAAGGGUGCGUAGGCGGCUUUUUAAGUUUGGUGUGAAAUCUCCCGGCUCAACUGGGAGGGUGCGCCGAAUACUGAAUGACUAGAGUGCGGGAGAGGAGAGUGGAAUUCCUGGUGUAGCGGUGAAAUGCGUAGAUAUCAGGAGGAACACCGGUGGUGUAGACGGCUCUCUGGACCGUAACUGACGCUGAGGCACGAAAGCGUGGGUAGCAAACAGG